AUUAGUCGAAGGAGCAAUUACAAGAAGCAAAGAAGGAACCAUGAAGUUCGGGAACUUGUAAAAGCUGCUGGUCUAGAGAUUCCAACUUUGCACCGACUACAAAACUGCCAUCCGUUGUCACCAAAAUGAAGCAUCAAAAAACAAACGGACAGCAGAGCCUCUCUUGUUAUACAGUACCACCAGAAUCGUCCUUCAGACUGACAAAAUGGAUAUUAUUCAACUGGAUAUUGAUACCAUCCAUUAACUCAAACUCCAACAGAGAAGGGUGCCUUCGGGAACGUGGAUAUAGGUGGUGUCUGGUUGUCAUCAACUCGUACCAAUAAGUGUUGGGUUAAGUCCUGCAACGAGCGCAGUAUUUAUUUACCAAUUGGAAUCUUGAGCAGACUACCGGUAAUUAACUGAGGAAGGUGAAGAUGACGUCAAGAAUGAUUUAGUUGAAGAAAAGGUAUUGAAUAAUGUAUAUAUUUAUUACGAUUGGCUAUAUUAAGUCAUUAAAUAUCUCCAAUAAAUCUAUAACUUAUUGAGGAAUAAUUCAUCUCAAGUUGGUUAUGAGCAUAAAUAUUUCAAUAAAUGUCAAACAAUAAUUU